rnacentral:rRNA from 1 species
UACGAAGGGGGCAAGCGUUGUUCGGAAUUACUGGGCGUAAAGGGCUCGUAGGCGGCCAACUAAGUCCGACGUGAAAUCCCAAAGCUUAACUUUGGAACUGCGUCGGAUACUGGAUGGCUUGAAUUCGGGAGAGGGAUGCAGAAUUCCAGGUGUAGCGGUGAAAUGCGUAGAUAUCUGGAGGAAUACCGGUGGCGAAGGCGGCAUCCUGGACCGACAUUGACGCUGAUGAGCGAAAGCUAGGGGAGCAAACGGG